GAUGAACGCUGGCGGCGUGCCUAAUACAUGCAAGUCGAGCGAACAGACGAGGAGCUUGCUUCUCUGACGUUAGCGGCGGACGGGUGAGUAACACGUGGAUAACCUACCUAUAAGACUGGGAUAACUUCGGGAAACCGGAGCUAAUACCGGAUAAUAUAUUGAACCGCAUGGUUCAAUAGUGAAAGACGGUCUUGCUGUCACUUAUAGAUGGAUCCGCGCCGCAUUAGCUAGUUGGUAAGGUAACGGCUUACCAAGGCAACGAUGCGUAGCCGACCUGAGAGGGUGAUCGGCCACACUGGAACUGAGACACGGUCCAGACUCCUACGGGAGGCAGCAGUAGGGAAUCUUCCGCAAUGGGCGAAAGCCUGACGGAGCAACGCCGCGUGAGUGAUGAAGGUCUUCGGAUCGUAAAACUCUGUUAUUAGGGAAGAACAAAUGUGUAAGUAACUGUGCACGUCUUGACGGUACCUAAUCAGAAAGCCACGGCUAACUACGUG
rnacentral:rRNA from 1 species